rnacentral:rRNA from 1 species
GGUUAAGCGACUAAGCGUACACGGUGGAUGCCUAGGCAGUCAGAGGCGAUGAAGGGCGUGCUAAUCUGCGAAAAGCGUCGGUAAGCUGAUAUGAAGCGUAAUAACCGACGAUACCCGAAUGGGGAAACCCAGUGCAAUUCGUUGCACUAUUGCAUGGUGAAUACAUAGCCAUGCAAGGCGAACCGGGGGAACUGAAACAUCUAAGUACCCCGAGGAAAAGAAAUCAACCGAGAUUCCCCCAGUAGCGGCGAGCGAACGGGGAAGAGCCCAGAGUCUGAAUCAGUUUGUGUGUUAGUGGAAGCGUCUGGAAAGUCGCACGGUACAGGGUGAUAGUCCCGUACACAAAAACACACUGGCUGUGAACUCGAUGAGUAGGGCGGGACACGUGACAUCCUGUCUGAAUAUGGGGGGACCAUCCUCCAAGGCUAAAUACUCCUGACUGACCGAUAGUGAACCAGUACCGUGAGGGAAAGGCGAAAAGAACCCCGGCGAGGGGAGUGAAAUAGAACCUGAAACCGUGUACGUACAAGCAGUGGGAGCACCUUCGUGGUGUGACUGCGUACCUUUUGUAUAAUGGGUCAGCGACUUAUAUUUUGUAGCAAGGUUAACCGAAUAGGGGAGCCGUAGGGAAACCGAGUCUUAACUGGGCGUCUAGUUGCAAGGUAUAGACCCGAAACCCGGUGAUCUAGCCAUGGGCAGGUUGAAGGUUGGGUAACACUAACUGGAGGACCGAACCGACUAAUGUUGAAAAAUUAGCGGAUGACUUGUGGCUGGGGGUGAAAGGCCAAUCAAACCGGGAGAUAGCUGGUUCUCCCCGAAAGCUAUUUAGGUAGCGCCUCGUGAACUCAUCUUCGGGGGUAGAGCACUGUUUCGGCUAGGGGUCCAUCCCGGAUUACCAAACCGAUGCAAACUCCGAAUACCGAAGAAUGUUAUCACGGGAGACACACGGCGGGUGCUAACGUCCGUCGUGAAGAGGGAAACAACCCAGACCGCCAGCUAAGGUCCCAAAGUCAUGGUUAAGUGGGAAACGAUGUGGGAAGGCAUAGACAGCCAGGAUGUUGGCUUAGAAGCAGCCAUCAUUUAAAGAAAGCGUAAUAGCUCACUGGUCGAGUCGGCCUGCGCGGAAGAUGUAACGGGGCUAAACCAUGCACCGAAGCUGCGGCAGCGACGCUUAGGCGUUGUUGGGUAGGGGAGCGUUCUGUAAGCCGUUGAAGGUGGCCUGUGAGGGCUGCUGGAGGUAUCAGAAGUGCGAAUGCUGACAUAAGUAACGAUAAUGCGGGUGAAAAACCCGCACGCCGGAAGACCAAGGGUUCCUGUCCAACGUUAAUCGGGGCAGGGUGAGUCGACCCCUAAGGCGAGGCUGAAAAGCGUAGUCGAUGGGAAACAGGUUAAUAUUCCUGUACUGGGUGUGACUGCGAAGGGGGGACGGAGAAGGCUAGGCUAGCCGGGCGACGGUUGUCCCGGUUUAAGCAUGUAGGCGGAGCGACUUGGUAAAUCCGGUUGCUUAUCAACGCUGAGGUGUGAUGACGAGCCACUACGGUGGUGAAGUAGUUGAUGCCAAGCUUCCAGGAAAAGCCUCUAAGCAUCAGGUGACAUUCAAUCGUACCCCAAACCGACACAGGUGGUCAGGUAGAGAAUACUCAGGCGCUUGAGAGAACUCGGGUGAAGGAACUAGGCAAAAUGGUGCCGUAACUUCGGGAGAAGGCACGCUGGCAUUAGGUAAAGAGACUUGCUCUCGGCGCCGAAGCCAGUCGCAGAUACCAGCUGGCUGCAACUGUUUAAUAAAAACACAGCACUGUGCAAACACGAAAGUGGACGUAUACGGUGUGACGCCUGCCCGGUGCUGGAAGGUUAAUUGAUGGGGUCAGCCGCAAGGCGAAGCUCUUGAUCGAAGCCCCAGUAAACGGCGGCCGUAACUAUAACGGUCCUAAGGUAGCGAAAUUCCUUGUCGGGUAAGUUCCGACCUGCACGAAUGGCGUAAUGAUGGCCAGGCUGUCUCCACCCGAGACUCAGUGAAAUUGAACUCGCUGUGAAGAUGCAGUGUACCCGCGGCAAGACGGAAAGACCCCGUGAACCUUUACUAUAGCUUGACACUGAAUAUUGAGCCUUGAUGUGUAGGAUAGGUGGGAGGCAU